UACGUUCCCGGGCCUUGUACACACCGCCCGUCACACCACGAAAGUCGGUAACACCCGAAGCCAGUGGCCCAACCGUAAGGAGGGAGCUGUCGAAGGUGGGGUUGGUGAUUGGGUG
rnacentral:rRNA from 1 species